AUGCACAUAUAUGCAUGCAUGAAUGUGUGUUCAGACCCAUAUGUAUAAGUAAGUUAUGUUGUACAAAUGAAAAUGAAAAGACUAGCUGAUGAAGUAUGCUAGGGCAAGACUGCAGGCUCCUGAUUUUAGCUGCCACACUUUCAGAUUUGCAGACAAUGUUGAAAGCUUGCUGCUGUGACCAAGAUAAGACGAACAGUAGCCCUCGAAGGACUAGCACCACAGCCUAUGACCCCACAGCCAACUUUAGGGAGUUGCAAUGGACAUGGAGCUCCACUCAGAGGGCCCUGGGAAAUGAGAGCUUAUAUUCCAGGGAGUGUGGGGAUAGGGGCGGGGUGAAAGGUAAAAGUAUUAAAUGGGGCAUGGGACUCUGACGGGUACUUUAACAGGAAUGAUCACUCAGUCCCCCUGGAUGAAAUAAGCUUGUCCUUGAGGGAUCCUAUACUGCUUCCCACCUUCCCUCCCAAAAUCCUUCCUCACCCCCUUUCUCUCUCCCAGUUCCUCUGCUGUGUUUCCUCACCUCUGUUUUUUCUGCUAAAACUUUUACUUUAUUGGAUUUGUCAUGCCUAUUUUCCUUACCUGCUGUCAAUCUUUGACUGCAGCAAUGAAAAUAAUCGAAUCACUAGCAACCAUAUCCACGCUCGGAAUUACUUUUAUGAAGGGACAUGCCAGAACUCCGUAAGGUCUGAGUACAAGUCAGGAGGGUAAGGAAUGAAGUAUCAGCAACGAAGGAGUCCACUGGUGUUUGCUUCCUCUUCCCAUCUGCUUUUCUGCCUCAUGAUGCUCUCCUAUGUAGACAUGCGGUGGCUCAUUCCAUACAGUGACUUCUGUGUAAUGUGGCAUUAAAUGAAACCUGGAUUUGAAUUACGUUAGACUUCAAAUGGAAAAGAGCUCUGGAAAUAGCUGGGAAAUCUCCAGGUCAUUAGCUGUAAGUAGAAUCAUAAUUGGCGAGAGGUUACUCCUGCACAGUUUGGAAAUAAGCUGGUGAGUUAAUCUUCCUGUUUGUGGCAGAGAGCUUCUUAAACUUUGAAAGAAAUUAUUUGAGACAUAAAGGUAGGGAUAGAAAUACUUUGCUGGAUCUUCUCCAUUCGUCAAGAUGGUUUUGGAGGGAAAAGUUUGCCAUUGUUCUGAAUUUUUUUUUAUUCUAGUUAAUUCACAUUAUUUUGGAGAGCUUUGCCUAGAAGGAAAACUAAUUUCUUAUGUUCCUUCCCUCUCUUUCAAGUCCUACUCCCCUACCUUUAAACUCUCACGAGGGAUCUUUUGGGAGGGUGAAGUGGGCAGAUAGAAAUUGAAUUGAAAAUAAAUUCUCCAGAAAGCACCAUCGUCCUGGAAAUGGUUCUGUCUGAAUGGAUUCUUUGAGAGGUGUUCUGUUUCCAUCAA